AUUCUAGCCUGGGCCGCCUCAUCCCAAAGCCUGUGCUAUCCUCAUUAUUAGCAGAAGCAGGACAGAAGGAAAAACAGCCCGAAAGAGCUCACCCUUGUAAUGCUUGGCUCCUCUCCAGUCUCCCUGCUAACAAUACCAUCUGCACAGGUGCUCAGACAGCAACCAGAGAACACCUUGUCCUGCAGAAUUGUUCACUCAGCUGCCUGGAGUGGGUUGAGCUCUCACUCUAAGCCACAAUCAAGAAGUUCCCCUUCCAAGUGA
rnacentral:lncRNA from 1 species